rnacentral:rRNA from 1 species
UACGUAGGGUGCGAGCGUUGUCCGGAAUUAUUGGGCGUAAAGGGCGCGUAGGCGGCGCGGGUAGUCAUCGGUGAAAGUUCAGGGCUCAACUCUGAAUCGGCCGGUGAUACUCCCGUGCUCGAGCACUGUAGAGGCAGGUGGAAUUCCGGGUGUAGCGGUGGAAUGCGUAGAGAUCCGGAAGAACACCGGUGGCGAAGGCGGCCUGCUGGGCAGUAGCUGACGCUGAUGCGCGACAGCGUGGGGAGCAAACAGG